GCCAGCAUGGCAUAGUGGUUUGAGCAUUGGACUGUGACUCUGGAGACCAGGGUUUGAUUCCCAGCUAGGCCA